UGGAGCUGGGAGGAAGGCGUAGCUGGCGAUCUCUCUCUCUCUCUCUCUCUCUCUCUCUCUCUCUCUCUCUCUCUCUCCUCUUCCCUCCCCCCUUGGUGUUUCUUCCAGUUCAGCCUCCUUCUCAUUCCAUCUCUACGUGCCCAGAGCUUCAAAUACAGUCCUCCCAUCACAGUCAGAUUCCCACAAAACUUCAAUCAGCUGCUUCUCCUGGAAGAGAUCCUGGAUGGGUGAAGAAACAGAGCUACCUAUGAGACGCAAGUAUCUGGCAUCAUUUUUCACACUUAGGGAGUGACAGACCCUGGAGUCUAAUCCAUCACCUGAGCUGAACCCAACCUCCGAGCGUUCUGAGGAAGGGCCUUGCCUUGAGACUAUCAGCUCCUCAGCUGGUUUACAGAGAAGCUCCUGGGUGAGGGUGUGGGCAUACUGACACCACACUUAGGUCAAGGAAUCCUCAGUAAUGUGCUAAGAACUUUUCCUUUAGGUGGGCGAGAGCCCAGAGAGGUCACAUCCCAAGGUCACAGGCCAAGUUAGUGGGUCAGCAGAGAUUUGAAAACACUGCUGUCACUCAUAAGUACAAAGAUUCAUUCAGUUCUUUUUAAAUCCAAACUCAAGCAUCUAUUGCAUGUUGGGUACAGGGCUAACUCCUGAUGAGAGGGACAGUCUCAGCAAAAGCCUGUGAUUCCAGCACUUGGGAGGCAGAGGCAGGAGGAUCACUGUGAAUUUAGAUUCCAGCUAGAGUUAGUGAACACACACACACACACACACACACACACACACACACACACACACACACAAGAGAGAGAAAGGGAAAGAGAAAGAGAGAGACAGAGACAGAGAGAGAGAGAGAGAAGGGGGCAUAUUUUCUGUGGGAGCAGAAGUAGCUAGGCCAAGAGAGGGGUGGGGGAAAUCUGAGAAUAGAGAGAAUAUUCCAAGCUGGGAAAAUGGUCUGUGAAAGGUUGAGAUGUGUGAGACGAGAUGACAAACCCUGCUUCCUGGGUUAGCAGGAAGCAGAACAACACAGUAUGGCGGAAGCUAACACAAUGGUGGGAAGUGUCCAGCAGCCUUGGAGAAGAUGCUGGGGCAGAAGAAACACCCUGAAGGGAAAGAGUCAACCAAUUCUGGGGCAGGCGACAGCCAGGGUGAUGUGGCUGGUUCCCAAGCCAGUGAUGGAGUCACUUGGGGCAGCACAGGGGAAGUCAGGAUGGGAAGUGGGGGUCAGGAGGAUGUGGGGAGAGCUGGGUAAGCACAGUUACCCAUGCUGAGGUGGCUGUGUGUGAGGAAGGAGUAGGUAUGCAUGCCGGUGUGAGGAGUGGCAAGCUGAGGCCUCUGGCUCUGUCACGGUGCUGGUUGCCAUGUUCUGAGACCUCUCUGCUCCACACCCUCUUUCUCUCUCUUCUCUGCAUGUUAAUUAAUUAAUUAGGGAUGCAAAUCAUUCAUUUGAUUCCAUUCUAUUCCCAGCAGAAUGCAAAUCUCAGGAAGGCAGCGAUUUUAUCCACCAUGUUCACGCUGUAUUUCCAACCUACGGCGCACAGCCUAGCACAUAGUAGGUACACAAUGAAAAGGAAUUCCUUUGCCAAUUGGCUCAGACAAUAUGCUGAGGGGAUAGAGACACUGAUGAGAUUAAAUACUCAAAGCUUGACAAGUGGCAGAGUCAGCACAGACUCACGUGACACUCCAUUUUGUAUUUGGUAUUUCAGCCUGAUAUCCAGGUUGCCUGGCACAUACUAGGUCUGCAAUAUGGGUUUGCUGAGUGGAAAAAGAAAAAGGAAAAGACACGCAUGCUCAGGGUAGUCAGCAUAUAGACCCAUCCUAGAGGGGCUCAGAAGACCCCCCAAAGGCCAGAAGGAAAGGUCACAAGUAAUCAAGAGAGGGAGAGAAUUCCAAGCAAGGCAACAUGGCCAACCACAGCAGAAGACAAACCAAUAGGUGAGUGAGAGGCUCUUGGCUACAGGUAUCACCCAUUGGCUUUAUUGUUCUCAACCAGGAGGAAGCUGGAAGGUGGGAAAGAAGAGGUGUGGAGCUAGCUGCAUCUGGCCCAGACUCCAGUUCUGAUGCCUAUUUGCUGUGUGGUCCCAUGCAGGGAUUUGACCUCUCUGGGCUCAGCCUCAUCUAACUCGAGGCACCCAAGAUGAAAGGCAGAGCAACACCAGAAACAAAAGCUCAUGUCUUGAGCUCUCCCGCUUCUCGCCCAGCGCUUCCUCGAGUCCUGAAAGCCUGCUCCGAUCUGUCUUCUGAGUCAAGGCACUGCAGUCUUCCUGUGGUGACAUCCCCUCCAUGCAGCUGUGCCUCCCAACCCGGUCUCUGUGGCCAGGACAUUCCCCCAAGUCUACACUUCUGAAUGACUUCUGUCCUUCUUACCAUGGUAGCUGGGGUCCUGGCUAUGUUUGGAUCAUGAGGUAUGAUGUAACUCCAGACCUACGUCAGCUGAGCUUAGGGAGUCAGAACUAGACCAUCCAGUGGCUCUGAGUCCUCGAUAUGCUCUGGUCACUCCCCAACCCACCAGGGAACACCACCCUGAAUCUCAGAGCAUCUUUUGUAUCGGAUCUCAGGGCACAAGGCUACAGUCUGGUCUGUGCUGCUGUGUUGAGAAUUGUGCAGCCUGGUUGCCUGUGGCACAGGUGGGCAUGGCACAGGUCUCUUGCCUGUCAUCAUGUUUUGGGGUCAGGAGAAACAUACUGACUGGCUAAAGAAGGAGGUGUGAUGAGACUGGAAGGAGACAGGACCAGGCCCCAUCACUAGCCAUGUUCCUAAGGGUCUCAUUGCUGGGCACUGAGAUGGUAGCAAUACUGGGGCUGGAUCCUUCUCAUCUUGAGAGCUGCUCACUUUCUGUCUGCUCCCAGAGACCAAGCCAGAAUGCAGCAUGCAGCUCUCAAACCUGUCACAUCUGCCAACUGUGAGACAGUGGGCAGGGCGCUGGCAUGGGAAGCCCCCUUUGACCUUAUUCAUGCAAGUACUAUGUGCUAACUGAUUUCUCCCCCAAAGCUCCCUUUCUUAAAGACAAGACACAGAAGUCAUCCAGCACCUGUGAUGGUGAAGUUUAUUGUCAAUCUGACAUAGCCCACAACCACCUGGAAUUAAUGAGGGAUUGUCCACACUGGGUAGGCCUGUGAGCAAGCCUGUGGAAGAUUGUCUUUAAUUGAUGUAGGGAGAUGCGGUCCACUGCGGGUAGUUCCAUUCCCUAGGCUCGCACCCCGGACUGUAUAAGAGUAGAGACAUCAAGCUGAGCACAAGCAAGUGAGCACGUGUGCAUCCAUUUCUCUCUGUUUUGACUGCCGAUGUGAAGUGACCAAAGUCAUUGCCUUGACUUCCUGUUAUGGUCGACUGAAACCUGGAAUUGAGAGCUUAAAGCAAAUCCUUUCCCUUCUCAGUCGCUUUUUAUCCGAGUAUAUUAUAACAGCGACAGGAAUUAGAAUGAGAACAUGCCUGUUACAUGCCAGAGAAUCUCCUUCCUGCUUUGCAGUUACAUUUCUCUAAUUCGCCUCACAUUUAAAAAAAGAAAAGAAAAAAAAAAGGCUAGUGCAGUUUUCACCACUUUGAUUAAGAGACCAGGAUACAGGCUUUGGGGAACAGCUUAGAUGGUAAAGUGUUUUGGUUUGCAAGCAUGAGGAGUACCGGGCAUGAUUCAGUCUGAAAAGGACUUGCUGUGCAAACAUGGACACUGGAGGGUACAUCCCCAGCACCCAUGCAAAAAGCUAAAUAUGGCAGCAUGCACCCGUCACCCCGGGAACUCUGGGGAUGGAGACAUGAGGGUCUCCAGAGCUCACUGGUCAGUUUACCUGCCAAAUCAGUCAGCUCCAGGUUCACUGAGAGAUCUUGUCUCAGAAAAUAAGGUGGAGAGAUGGAGGAGGAUGCCUUAAGUGAAUCUAUGGCUUCUACACACAUGCAUGUAUAUAUGAACACAAAGCCAGGCAAGGUACAUGUGCUUGUAAUUCCAGUGCUUGGGAGAGAUAGGGCAGGAGAUAGGCUCUCUGCCCAGCCAGCCUAGACUAAUUAGUGAUAUCCAGGUCCUAAUAAGAGACUGUGUCUCAGGGGGAAGAAGGAGGAUGGCUCCUGAGGAAGGACACCUGAGGUUGACCUCAGCUUCCAUGUGCACAUGUGCACACCUGCACACACACACUCACUCACAUGUAUGCACACACACACACACACACACACACACACACACACACACACUAUUAAAAGAAACCCACAUCCAAUAGCCAUGACAUGGUAGCUCGUGCCUGUAACCUUAGCUCUUGAGAGAUGGAAGCAGGAAGAUCAGAAGUUCAUGGUCAUCUUUAUCUACAAAGUGGGUUCAAGGCAAGUCUAGGCUAUAUGAGAAGUUCUAUCAUUAAAACAAAAACAAAAACAAACAAAACCCAGGAUCCAGGAAACUUGGAGAGUUGAAAAAUCCCUUAAAAGCACAAGGAGAAAACUCCAAAGACUGCCACCUCCCGCAGUCCCAUGGCUUGUCUCUGAGAGACCACUUGAGCCAUAUCUUUACCUCUCCUAAGGAGACCAUGAUGGGCAUAAGUGAAUCAGGGACUUCAGACAGAGCCCAGCCCUCACUGCUUGAGUCUUGCACAAUGCCUUUCUAUCUCCAGAAGAUGUCCUUCACUCCAGUCAAACGGAUGAGGUCUCUCAGGACUGGACAAUUUAAAGGGCUGUGCAAAUGAAGGCCAGCGUUGUCUCUAUUUUGGCUGAGACACUCCUGUCCCUGGGGUCAUCUUCAGUUCAUAUCUGUUCUUCUGCUUCUUGACAGCAGCUACGGAGAUGUGGUGAAGCACCGAUCACAUCUUACCACUUCCUUAAAAUCCCUUAUGUUUCACAUGCUCGGUACCCUGGGUGACCUGGAUUGGACCAUCUCUACCUCCUGGCCUAUAACACAGACACAGACACAGACACACACACAGACACAAACACACACACAGACACAGACACACACACAGACACAGACACACACACGCACACGCACACGCACACGCACACGCACACACACACACACACACAUGGAACCUAGCUCCAUGUGUUUUCCUGCCCUAGGGCCUUUGCAUGAGCUCUGUCUUCUACACGAAGUGAAAACAUACUCUUUGCGUGCCUUUUCUGGGUGUCAGCUGUCUCUUCCUCCACAGAUGUCACAGAAAUGUCAUCCUUUUGGAAACUCCUCUUCCUGCCUCCUCAGCAGGUUUGUUUCCUUCAUUCUCUUCAGUUUGCCAUAGUCUUUUCUCUGGUUUGUUUCAUCAGACCCCAUGUUCUGCAGACAUGGGCACUAUAUUUGCUCUGUUUCUUUCUGCCCUUUCCAGCUCUGAGCCUGGCACGAUGGUUGUUCUUGAUAUUUCCAGUUGGAUGAGCCUGGUGUUUGCAGCUCUUUGCUGGGUGCUGUGUGUCCCUCCUGUUCUGAGCUAGAAAGACACCUGGAGUCCCCCUCUCUCUCAGGCACAGUGCUAGGCUAUAGCUGUAGGUUCUGCUCACACCCAUGGGUUCAAUUUAACCCUCAUGGCAUCCAGGUCUCCAUUUCCUCUGUUGUGAGAUGGAAUUCCUAAGACCAGGAGAUUGGAAGACAUAUGUGUGGCCAUUCCUUUCUUACAAAUGCCUUUGACCCUUCUCUGGGCCAAAGGCCUCUUGUUUUUCAAACAAGGACCACUGAGGACCAGAAAAAGUCAAGCACUUUGUCUGAGAACACGGAGAAGAUCUGGAUGCAAGAGCCUUCCUUAUCCUCAGCAUCAGGGUCCUCCGACCUAGAGGAGGAGAAGAGAUCCCCCACCAGACACCAGAAGAGCAGCUGGCCCAUUUCUUGUGCCCCGUGCCUCCUCCUAGUCUUCAGUAAGCAUUUUCCCCAAGGGCAACAGCAGCUGCCUCCACAGAGCUGAGCCCCAGACGGCAGGCUUCCCCACACCAGGACCCUUGGGGGACACCAUACAGAAACUGACCUAUAUUAAUUUCAAGUGCUAUUUGCAGUCUUGGUCCCUUCCCACCCAGCUCAUAACCCUGCCCUGCACAAGCUCGCAAACACGUUGAUCAGCCCAAGGACAUUAUAAAAAUAAAAUGACCUAAACCCGGCCUUCUGGGAACCUCUGCCCUCCUGUGCCCCUGCUCCGAGCGAGGCAAGGGGACAGUGCUCACAGCCCAGUUUGAGGAAGGGCUGCCACCCCCCUGGGAGGAGACAAGAAGGAGGCAGCAGCUAAAGCAGGUGCAAGGAGCUGGUGGAUGUGACAAGCUAAGGGCGGAGAAGAGGGCAACAGAGAGAGGAGAGGAAUUAAUAAAGGCUCCCCGGGGGGCAGGUCACACCAGGGAGUGAGGGAAAGUGCUAGAAAGAACAGUUGCAGCCUCAAUGGAGAAUGAAGAGGGAGAAGGGAAAUUCCAGAGAAGAAUAUGCUAGAAAUGGGGACAGUGGCAUCAGAGGACACAGAGAGCCCCUGAAGGGGACAGAGAAAGACAUGGGAGGACACAGCCAAUGAGAGCAGGUGGAGGGACCCACAGCUAAUAUGAUUAGGGUUUUGUUGGGGCAGGGAGGGGGAGAGUGUCCUGGAGAAGAGUUAGGUGUGGGGGGCAUACAACAGUCAGAACAGAAAGUUGAGGCCUGGCUUUAACGUGGCUUUCAAAUCAAUCAGAAGCCAGGAUUUGCCACUAAAGGCUCUCCUCCAUCUGACCUUCACGUGUGAGCUACCGCAUGUGUGUCCACACACAAACACAAAGACGAUUCGGAGGGAGGUCGUGGGAAGAUGUAGGACGAGCAUGUCAUGACCCUGGUGUCACAUUUACCUGACUUUGGAACCUCAGGGUGGCAGGGAAGGAACUCCCCCACCCCACCCCACCCCACCCGUUCUGAAGCCUCCAGGCUGUGGAGUUUCUCAUAGCCACCCUCACUUACCACCACCAGCGCCUCGUGUGAAAUGGGCUCAGUUUUCCCUCCAGGCCUGUCGUUACCUUGUCAUCUAAGUCAGGUGCAGGCAUUGUCACACCACUUAGGGGAAGUUCCUGAGUAGAGAAGACAGGCUCUAUUGUACAACAGAAAGGAGUUUCGUUAUAUGCUUGGACAUUCUCUGUCUCUCUGGAAGGCUCUAGAAGGCACUGCCAUGAGUCUUGGUGAGGUGAGGUCUUACCAAAAGGCUUCACCGUCACACCCUUGGGAAAAUCAUCCCCCUGAUAACUAUCCUGGCUUUGAGCUUUACCCAGAAGUCACUUCUCAGUUUGGGAACUGGAGUCCAGUGGAGUCUGGGAAUGGGAAACAUCCAAACCCAACCCAUUUGGUUUAUUUAUAGUCACUCUUUACUCAUUGGCUUCUUUUACUGACAGAGCCAGGAUUCGAACUCAGGACUAUUACCUCAAAGCUUAUGCUCUGGCUGACACCCUGUUGCCCCGGCAUUGUGUGGGACAAGUAGUUUUGUUCAGUCCCCAGAGACAGGUGGGAUUUAAGCAGGAAGGACAGCAAGGAGCAUGGCAAGCACGGGGCUGACCCUGGCUAGAGGUACAGAAACGGAGAGCAGAGCACCAGUUGACAAUCUGUCCCUGCCCUUCGUUCUGCUUCGCUCUGUCACUCAACACUUAGGUCCUAGCUUCUACUUCCUGGUGACCACUUCCUGGUGACUACUUUCUAUGCUCCUAAUUCGAUGCAAACACUACACACCACUCUCCUGCCAGCAGGGGCACACAGUUCUAUCUUCCCUCCAAAUACCCUCCCUCAUCUUGCCCACUUGCCCAGUGCUGCUUUUGUUACGGUCCAACAUGAAUGCCACCUCUAUUGGGAAGUCUUCCGUAUCCGUUACAAGCCCUGCUCAGGGGGGUCUGACCACAGGGUUCUCUCACUCUGAGCACAACAGAGAGGAAGCUGGCUAUAGUGAGGCUGGUGUCCCUCGAAGAAGCUGUGUGGUCCCCAGGACCUCCUACCCAGCUUCUAGGAGGGAGGUUUGAACUUGUGAUGGGUUUCUUUUGUAAAUAAAGUUUUAUUGAGACACAGUCA